rnacentral:rRNA from 1 species
GACGUACGAGGCAGUGAUUAGAGUUUGAUCCUGGCUCAGGACGAACGCUGGCGGCGUGCCUAACACAUGCAAGUCGAACGAAGCUCUGCGAUACAAGACUUCGGUCAAGUUGAACGGAUGACUUAGUGGCGGACGGGUGAGUAACGCGUGAGGAACCUGCCUUUCAGUGGGGGACAACAGUUGGAAACGACUGCUAAUACCGCAUAAUGUAUUCUGACCGCAUGAUCGGAAUACCAAAGAUUUAUUGCUGGAAGAUGGCCUCGCGUCUGAUUAGAUAGUUGGUGAGGUAACGGCUCACCAAGUCGACGAUCAGUAGCCGGACUGAGAGGUUGAACGGCCACAUUGGGACUGAGAUACGGCCCAGACUCCUACGGGAGGCAGCAGUGGGGAAUAUUGGGCAAUGGGGGAAACCCUGACCCAGCAACGCCGCGUGAAGGAAGAAGGCUUUCGGGUUGUAAACUUCUUUUACCAGGGACGAAGGACGUGACGGUACCUGGAGAAAAAGCCACGGCUAACUACGUGCCAGCAGCCGCGGUAAUACGUAGGUGGCAAGCGUUGUCCGGAUUUACUGGGUGUAAAGGGCGUGUAGGCGGAGAAGCAAGUCAGAAGUGAAAUCCAUGGGCUUAACCCAUGAACUGCUUUUGAAACUGUUUCCCUUGAGUAUCGGAGAGGCAGGCGGAAUUCCUAGUGUAGCGGUGAAAUGCGUAGAUAUUAGGAGGAACACCAGUGGCGAAAGCGGCCUGCUGGACGACAACUGACGCUGACGCGCGAAAGCGUGGGGAGCAAACAGGAUUAGAUACCCUGGUAGUCCACGCUGUAAACGAUGAAUACUAUGUGUGGGAGGACUGACCCCUUCCGUGCCGCAGUUAACACAAUAAGUAUUCCACCUGGGGAGUACGAUCGCAAGAUUGAAACUCAAAGGAAUUGACGGGGCCCGCACAAGCAGUGGAUUAUGUGGUUUAAUUCGACGCACGCGAAGAACCUUACCGGGAUUUGACAUCCUACUAACGAGCAGAGAUGCAUUAGGUGCCCUUCAGGGAAGUAGAGACAGUGGUGCAUGUGUCGUCACCUCUGUCUUGGAAUGAUUGUUAGUUCCCGCCACAGCGCAACCCCUAUUGUUUAGUUGCUAUCUCAAGAGACACUCUAUCGACCGUCGCCUUGUCUAAACAGGAGAGAGGGCGGGACAAAUCAAUCUCAUUGCCUAUGUUCCGGCGCUACACGUAUAUCAAUUGGCGUUCACAAAGGGAAGCAAAACCCCAAGCGCGGAC